rnacentral:tRNA from 1 species
GGCGAGGUAGCUCAGCUGGUUAGAGCGUUGGAUUCAUAACCCAGAGGUCGGGGGAUCGUGCCCCCCUCUCGCUACAA